rnacentral:rRNA from 1 species
UACGGGGGGGGCAAGCGUUGUUCGGAAUUACUGGGCGUAAAGAGCUCGUAGGCGGCUUGUCGCGUUGUUCGUGAAAAUUUACCGCUCAACGGUGAACUUGCGGGCGAUACGGGCAGGCUAGAGUACUGCAGGGGAGACUGGAAUUCCUGGUGUAGCGGUGAAAUGCGCAGAUAUCAGGAGGAACACCGGUGGCGAAGGCGGGUCUCUGGGCAGUAACUGACGCUGAGGAGCGAAAGCGUGGGGAGCGAACAGG